rnacentral:rRNA from 1 species
GUGGAUAACCUGCCGUAUACCGGGGGAUAACACUUAGAAAUAGGUGCUAAUACCGCAUGAGCGCACAGCUCCGCAUGGAGCGGUGUGAAAAACUCCGGUGGUAUACGAUGGAUCCGCGUCUGAUUAGCCAGUUGGCGGGGUAACGGCCCACCAAAGCGACGAUCAGUAGCCGGCCUGAGAGGGUGAACGGCCACAUUGGGACUGAGACACGGCCCAGACUCCUACGGGAGGCAGCAGUGGGGAAUAUUGCACAAUGGGGGAAACCCUGAUGCAGCGACGCCGCGUGAGUGAAGAAGUAUCUCGGUAUGUAAAGCUCUAUCAGCAGGAAAGAUAAUGACGGUACCUGACUAAGAAGCCCCGGCUAACUACGUGCCAGCAGCCGCGGUAAUACGUAGGGGGCAAGCGUUAUCCGGAUUUACUGGGUGUAAAGGGAGCGUAGACGGCAGCGCAAGUCUGGAGUGAAAUACCGGGGCCCAACCCCGGAACUGCUUUGGAAACUGUGCGGCUCGAGUGCGGGAGAGGUAGGCGGAAUUCCUAGUGUAGCGGUGAAAUGCGUAGAUAUUAGGAGGAACACCAGUGGCGAAGGCGGCUUACUGGACCGUAACUGACGUUGAGGCUCGAAAGCGU